rnacentral:tRNA from 1 species
UGGGGCGUCGCCAAGCGGUAAGGCACCGGAUUUUGAUUCCGGCAUUCGGAGGUUCG